rnacentral:lncRNA from 1 species
AUGUCGAUGUUCAGUCUAUCUGUAGACGUAGACAUAGUAGUGGAGGGUUGGGCUCGUUUGUUUAGAUCACACAAGAAUGCUCCCCACUUAGAAAAAAAAGAAAAAAGUUUCACCGAAGAAAAAGCGACUCGAGGUUCGUUCCCAGGGCAACCGCAAGCCCAACCUACCUCCAUAGUAGAAUUACCUGAAUUCUCCUCACGUGACCUACCCCUAGGUCUUCCGACCAAUCAGAAGACAGGACAGGUGCGCUCAUGGUAGUUUCGGAGGUGGAAUCUCAGGUACUCUUGUAAACUGCGACGACUCUAUAAAGUCUUUCACGUAAGUUCAAAUUUUGCGUGGCAUAUUCAGAACCUCCUCCAGGUGAUGUUGGGCAAAGGAUAAUGUUACGUUUUCUCACAGACUAGGAUAUCUAUUCAGUCGAGUUAUGCGCAAAACUGCGUCUCAGUUAUUGAAGUCUUCGGGUACGCGGUAGUGAAAGAUGAUUUUCACGCACCGUGAUUUCUUCUGAGGAUCCAGCGUCUCUGUUGUCUCAGCACACCUUUCAUUUAGAGGAACCUCGGGCUGCGUUUAUCUUGUUCUCAUCAUUUUGUGCAGGUGAGUCGCUCAGGCUGAUGAUCAGGUUCGUUGUUGUGGCAUGAAUCAUCACCUGUAAAAGACUCUCUGGAGCUUAUGGCGCUGAAAACCUGUUCUGCAUCACAGGACAAUAUCCUAGGUUGUUUGUCUUGUAUGACGUGAAGCUCAUUUGUGUCAUACGAAUGAAGUUAUUCGAAAAUAGGCCUAGGUUUAAAAUGGCAUUCAUACAGAAUAUGACUUUAAUAUGCUACACAUGUUAGCGUUCUUACAGUUUCUUAAUCGAAAGUCAUUUUGAUAUUUUGUAUGAGUGUAGAAAAAUGUCAGGUGGUGUAACUGAGAUUUAAAAACAACAGCAACAACAAAAAUGAUAAACACAUAGUUUUGAAUCAUAUUUUAUAAUGAUUUAUUAUUAUUAUUAGGGUAUUUCUUUAAAAAUAUGUAAAGCAAUUUUAAUAUCAAUGGUGUAAUCAACAUCCAUGAAGCCAUUUUGUUGUCAUGUGACAAAAUCAUAAAACAGGGAGGACCCUUUUAGACCACUACCCUAUAAGGUAAAAUAAUAGCUAUACGAGAAAGAAAUUCUGAAAGUUAUUUAUUUAUUUAUUUUUUCAGAAAAGUAAAAUAUAGAUGUAACUCUCAUGGCAUGGUCUAUAAAUCUGAGAUUUGGAAUGGCUACAUUCAUAAUGUAUGAAACCACAAAUACAAAGUUUUGGCUAGCCUACAUUUCUAAGAACUUGACACUUGUUUUAAGUUAGAUUUUUAAAAGAUUUCUCCAUCUUGGAUCUUACUUGUAUUUGAUUUCUAUAAGCAAAUCCAUUUUUAUAACAUUAAUGUAUCUAGUGAAGGGUAGAGAUAUAGCCUAUUUCCUAAUGUAGCCUAUAUUAAACCUAAUCUAUUACAGAUCCAUCUCAGAUUACACUGUGUUGUUGUUAUUCUUGAAUAGAUGUUGUGUCUAUUGUUGUUCUUACGUCAUAGCGUCAUAAUUAAGCGUGGGUGUAUUGAUAACAAUUAAAUGGUAGGUACACCUAAAAAUAGACACAACAUAGUUCUUCCAGUUUUAAUGUUGAAGUAGUAAUUUGGUCGUAUUUAUUUAUUUAUUUAUUUA